UACGAAGGGGGCGAGCGUUGUUCGGAUUUACUGGGCGUAAAGGGCGCGCAGGCGGCGCAUUUUGUCAGGCGUGAAAGCCCCGGGCUUAACCUGGAAACUGCGUUUGAUACGGAUGGGCUAGAGUUCGGGUGAGGAGAGUGGAAUUCCCAGUGUAGAGGUGAAAUUCGUAGAUAUUGGGAAGAACACCGGUGGCGAAGGCGGCUCUCUGGACCGAGACUGACGCUGAGGCGCGAAAGCGUGGGGAGCAAACAGG
rnacentral:rRNA from 1 species